GUGUGUGUGUGUUGGAGGUGUAUGUCGACACCCACAAAGGAAAAAGGAUAAACCCUCAAAUUCAGCCCCUUUAAGUCUAAAUUGAAGAUGGAUUCAAGUUGAGAUUGAUGCAUGAACCCGAUUUCUUGAUGAUCUAGUACUCACAAUCAUGUGGAACGUGUCAAGGAGAGCUCAAGCAUAGGAGGAUAACGGGUCAAGAUAAGGCAAGGUGACAAAUACACUUAUUGGAGUACUCAAGGUAAGUGAUUCCGAUUUCACUUCUUAGCUUGUUUAAAUAAGGUAGUGUUCUAGAUAAUUGGGUAUGUUACGAACUCAAUAUGGAUUUGGUUGAAUGAAAACGAUGGUUCUCGCUAAAUAGAUCGAAUGGGUCAAAUAAGGUAUUAUUGUCAUAACAUAAUGAAGUAUAAGUAAGUUCCGAACCUCUUUUGAGUAUUUAGAAAGAUUUGUUAAUUUUGUCAUAUGUUGCGAAUAGUGAGAUAUGUAAGAACGUAAGAUCAAAUGAAGUUCUAAGUUUAGUUUUGUGGUGAUGGGUCAAAAAUGUUAACUAAGUCGGAAAGUGUGUAAUAAAGAUCAAACGGGUCAAAACUAGGAAACGGGGUAAGGUGAGGUUUCGGCCAUUAAGGCAUGGGGAAAGUAUUGGUAUGAUUUGGGACCUUGAAAGGAUGUUACCAUACGUUUGGAACGCUCGUGGUGCAAGUAUAAUCGAUCCCGAUAGCCAAAAAGUAGAAAUUAGCGUCUGGGAUGCAGAAGGGGCGUCGCCGACGUCCCAAAGGACCGUCGGUGAUGGUGCUUGGGUGGUUCUGUGCUUACGACGUCUUAAUUUCCUGUCUACGGACUUCUUUCCCGACGGACAAAAUUAGUGGGCGUCACCGACGGCCUGGUGAGGCGUCGGCGUCGGCGACGGUGCCUCCGUUUCCUGCUUUCUGUUUUCGCCAUGUAGCGCUCUCGGUUGAACUCAUUUCCGUCCGGGUGCUCCGUAAAGACUCCGUAAGCCUUGUUAGGCAUAAGAAAGCACUAACCUUAUUAAAAUAGAUAGCUAUGCACUCAAGUUCAUGUAAAAGUGCGUAUCUUAUAAAUAAUUAAAUGGUGAAAGGAAAUGUGUUAGAACAGUUUAUACGGAUAAAAUGAUAAAACUUGUUCAUAAGAAUGCUUACUUGUGAAUUAUUACAUAUGUUUAUAAUACAAUAGUAGGAGGUGGUUAAGGGAAUAUGACUUUAAUUGCACGUGUUAUAUGUAUUUUGGCAUACAAGGACAUGUACGAUACACAUAGGUAUGAAUACAUGAUUUUAAGUAUAUUUGAAUAUAUGUAGGGAUGUAAACGUGUACGGUUGUAAGUAUGUACGUGUGUAUGUACGUGCGAAUGCAUAAUUUAGAUGUAUUGAGAAUUAACGUUACUAACGACACACUUGAGUUUAGAAUAUAAUGCAGGAAUGAGAAUGACGGAUCCUUAUGAAGUUGAAGCUGAACUUGGAACGAGAGAUUUCAAGAGAAUAGUCGAAUGCUACACGGAAGUUAAUUGCGUGAGACUAGUGUCGUAUGAGGUUGUCAAUGUCUAAUGAUUUAGUUGUAUGUGAUGUUCACAGGUACCACAUGGAUUCCUUCUUCUACUAACGAAGCUGAGCGGACGUAGAUCGAGUCAAGAGCAAGGGUUGUAUGGAAAGAACGGUCAAAUAGUUCGAAAUAUGUAUUGCUUUGAAGCGUCAAUACAAUGUGAAUAUUGUAAAACCCUUCCAGUAAAUGUUUAAUAAAUUGCAUCUGAACUUUUAUGUUAGAAAUAUGUUUAUUAAAGAAAGAAAUUUUAAGGCUCGUAUUUCCGCUGCGUCGAUUUAAAAAUAUUACGUGGUAGGGUCUUACAAGUUGGUAUCAGAGCCAUGGUUUGAGGGAAAUCAAGUACGAGGAGGUAAGUACUUGAACUCAAACCCGUGUGCUCUGUGAAUAGUGACCGUACAAUCCGAGACUCGAUCAAGACAGAAAGGUAAAACUUGAUACAAGUAAGUAUAUGUGUAAUGAUACUAAUAAUGAUGGAUGUAUUAAGGUGAACAUGCAUGGACAACGAGGAUGUUACACAGUCGCGGACUAGCAAGGAAGUGAAGGCAAGUAAUAAAGCAAGCAUUGAAUCUCAGGUAAGCUCGACGAAUGGACACGCAAUGCCACCAAACGGGAAGGAAUGAUCAUCGUAAGAUAAAGAUAACGAAUCAAUGGAAUCUACUUCCGCCAGGUAUGUGCAAAAAGGGUUGUAACUUUAAUAGGAGGUUAUGACUCGACUAGAGAUGGGUGUGGCAUAAACGCAUAAGCUAACCUCUUCUAUGGAUAUGAAAGUAAUUAGUAGGAACAUUAGUGAUGGAAUGUUGUGGUUCGCACAAGGUGAACGAAAUAAAAUAAUAAAUACCUAAAGGCAAUGACGACCCCGAAACGAAUUUUGGUAAUAUGUGUAUUUACGCGGUUUAAAAUUACCAUGUGCCAACAAAAGUACUCAGAAAGAAUGCCAAUCACAGAAUACCGAAGUAAACUCACGAUAGGUACCCCUGUGGCUAACGUUAGGAUGAAAUAACUUGUAUGGUACAUGUGUGAGAUGGAAAUUAUUUGAUUCACUAUGAUUGGUUAAUGUAUGAAAGUCUGAUGCUUUAUUAAGAAGGCAAGAACAAGACCUAUACGAAUGGCUAUGCAUGAAUAUUACCUCUCUAACGAGUUACAAGUGUUUUCGUGUUACAGUAAGCAUUUUGAAUGAACUAAUUUAAAAGUAAGGAUAGAAUUGGUCUAAUAGGAACGAGAAAGGUUUCGGGGACAAAACCUUCUUUAAGGGGGGUAGACUUGUAACGCCCCAAAACUCGAAUGCUCACAUUCGUCAUAUGAGUAACGCCCUAAAACCUUGAAUUUUUAUAUUUGUCGUAUGUUCCAAAUGAUAAAACAUGAAAUAAAAUGACUAGGCUAUUUAGCCUAGUUAAAUUAUUUAGUCAAAACAAGUAAUGAAUGAGUUUGGUGGCAAUUGUGAGGAUGUGACAAAAUAGAGGGGCUAAACUUGGAAAAAUUGAGUUUAAGUUUUACAUAAUCUAGAAAACUCAGUAUUGUGUGUGUGUGUGUGUUGGAGGUGUAUGUCGACACCCACAAAGGAAAAAGGAGAAACCCUCACAUUCAGCCCCUUUAAGUCUAAAUUGAAGAUGGAUUCAAGUUGAGAUUGAUGCAUGAACCCGAUUUCUUGAUGAUCUAGUACUCACAAUCAUGUGGAACGUGUCAAGGAGAGCUCAAGCAUAGGAGGAUAACGGGUCAAGAUAAGGCAAGGUGACAAAUACACUUAUUGGAGUACUCAAGGUAAGUGAUUCCGAUUUCACUUCUUAGCUUGUUUAAAUAAGGUAGUGUUCUAGAUAAUUGGGUAUGUUACGAACUCAAUAUGGAUUUGGUUGAAUGAAAACGAUGGUUCUCGCUAAAUAGAUCGAAUGGGUCAAAUAAGGUAUUAUUGUCAUAACAUCAUGAAGUAUAAGUAAGUUCCGAACCUCUUUUCAGUAUUUAGAAAGAUUUGUUAAUUUUGUCAUAUGUUGCGAAUAGUGAGAUAUGUAAGAACGUAAGAUCAAAUGAAGUUCUAAGUUUAGUUUUGUGGUGAUGGGUCAAAAAUGUUAACUAAGUCGGAAAGUGUGUAAUAAAGAUCAAACGGGUCAAAACUAGGAAACGGGGUAAGGUGAGGUUUCGGCCAUUAAGGCAUGGGGAAAGUAUUGGUAUGAUUUGGGACCUUGAAAGGAUGUUACCAUACGUUUGGAACGCUCGUGGUGCAAGUAUAAUCGACCCCGAUAGCCAAAAAGUAGAAAUUAGCGUCUGGGAUGCAGAAGGGGCGUCGCCGACGUCCCAAAGGACCGUCGGUGACGGUGCUUGGGUGGUUCUGUGCUUACGACGUCUUAAUUUCCUGUCUACGGACUUCUUUCCCGACGGACAAAAUUAGUGGGCGUCGCCGACGGCCUGGUGAGGCGUCGGCGACGGUGCCUCCGUUUCCUGCUUUCUGUUUUCACCAUGUAGCGCUCUCGGUUGAACUCAUUUCUGUCCGGGUGCUCCGUAAAGACUCCGUAAGCCUUGUUAGGCAUAAGAAAGCACUAACCUUAUUAAAAUAGAUAGCUAUGCACUCAAGUUCAUGUAAAAGUGCGUAUCUUAUAAAUAAUUAAAUGGUGAAAGGAAAUGUGUUAGAAUAGUUUAUACGGAUAAAAUGAUAAAACUUGUUCAUAAGAAUGCUUACUUGUGAAUUAUUACGUAUGUUUAUAAUACAAUAGUAGGAGGUGGUUAAGGGAAUAUGACUUUAAUUGCACGUGUUAUAUGUAUUUUGGCAUACAAGGACAUGUACGAUACACAUAGGUAUGAAUACAUGAUUGUAAGUAUAUUUGGAUAUAUGUAGGGAUGUAAACGUGUACGGUUGUAAGUAUGUACGUGUGUAUGUACAUGCGAAUGCAUAAUUUAGAUGUAUUGAGAAUUAACGUUACUAACGACACACUUGAGUUUAGAAUAUAAUGCAGGAAUGAGAAUGACGGAUCCUUAUGAAGUUGAAGCUGAACUCGGAACGAGAGAUUUCAAGAGAAUAGUCGAAUGCUAUACGGAAGUUAAUUGCGUGAGACUAGUGUCGUAUGAGGUUGUCAAUGUCUAAUGAUUUAGUUGUAUGUGAUGUUCACAGGUACCACAUGGAUUCCUUCUUCUACUAACGAAGCUGAGCGGACGUAGAUCGAGUCAAGAGCAAGGGUUGUACGGAAAGAACGGUCAAAUAGUUCGAAAUAUGUAUUGCUUUGAAGCGUCAAUACAAUGUGAAUAUUGUAAAACCCUUCCAGUAAAUGUUUAAUAAAUUGCAUCUGAA